rnacentral:rRNA from 1 species
UACGGGGGGGGCAAGCGUUGUUCGGAAUUACUGGGCGUAAAGGGCUCGUAGGUGGCCAACUAAGUCAGACGUGAAAUCCCUCAGCUUAACUGGGGAACUGUGUCUGAUACUGGAUGGCUUGAGUUUGGGAGAGGGAUGCGGAAUUCCAGGUGUAGCGGUGAAAUGACGUAGAUAUCUGGAGGAACACCGGUGGCGAAGGCGGCAUCCUGGACCAACACUGACACUGAGGAGCGAAAGCCAGGGGAGCAACGGG